rnacentral:rRNA from 1 species
UACGAAGGGGGCUAGCGUUGUUCGGAAUUACUGGGCGUAAAGGGUGCGUAGGCGGUUUGGUAAGUCUGAUGUGAAAUCUAUGGGCUCAACUCAUAGUCUGCAUCGGAAACUGCCGGGCUUGAGUGUGGGAGAGGUGAGUGGAAUUCCUGGUGUAGCGGUGAAAUGCGUAGAUAUCAGGAGGAACACCUGUGGCGAAAGCGGCUCACUGGACCAUAACUGACGCUGAUGCACGAAAGCUAGGGGAGCAAACAGG